AACGAACGCUGGCGGCAUGCCUAACACAUGCAAGUCGAACGAAGGCUUCGGACUUAGUGGCGCACGGGUGCGUAACGCGGGGGAAUCUGCCCUGGGGUACGGAAGAACUCAGAGAAAUUUGUGCUAAUACCGGAUAAUGUCUUCGGACCAAAGAUUUAUCGCCCAAGGAUGAGCCCGCGUAAGAUUAGCUAGUUGGUGGGGUAAAAGCCUACCAAGGCGACGAUCUUUAGCUGGUCUGAGAGGAUGAUCAGCCACACUGGGACUGAGACACGGCCCAGACUCCUACGGGAGGCAGCAGUGGGGAAUAUUGGACAAUGGGCGAAAGCCUGAUCCAGCUCUGCCGCGUGAGUGAUGAAGGCCCUAGGGUUGUAAAGCUCUUUUACCCGGGAUGAUAAUGACAGUACCUGGAGAAUAAGCUCCGGCUAACUCCGUG
rnacentral:rRNA from 1 species